AGCGGAUGAAGGGGAGCUUGCUCCUGGAUUCAGCGGCGGACGGGUGAGUAAUGCCUAGGAAUCUGCCUGGUAGUGGGGGAUAACGUUCCGAAAGGAACGCUAAUACCGCAUACGUCCUACGGGAGAAAGCAGGGGACCUUCGGGCCUUGCGCUAUCAGAUGAGCCUAGGUCGGAUUAGCUAGUUGGUGAGGUAAUGGCUCACCAAGGCGACGAUCCGUAACUGGUCUGAGAGGAUGAUCAGUCACACUGGAACUGAGACACGGUCCAGACUCCUACGGGAGGCAGCAGUGGGGAAUAUUGGACAAUGGGCGAAAGCCUGAUCCAGCCAUGCCGCGUGUGUGAAGAAGGUCUUCGGAUUGUAAAGCACUUUAAGUUGGGAGGAAGAGCUGUAGGCUAAUAUCCUGCGGUUUUGACGUUACCAACAGAAUAAGCACCGGCUAACUUCGUGCCAACAGCCGCGGUAGUACGAAGGGUGCAAGCGUUAAUCGGAAUUACUGGGCGUAAAGCGCGCGUAGGUGGUUCGUUAAGUUGGAUGUGA
rnacentral:rRNA from 1 species